CUACCCAUCACUCGGGCAUAACUAGCCGAAAGGUUAGCUAAUUCCCGAUGGUCUCGCAAGAGUAAAGCUUUCGCGGUGAUGGAAGUGCCUGCGUCCUAUCAGCUUGUUGGUGAGGUAACGGCUUACCAAGGCUAUGACGGGUAGGGGGGGUGAGAGCCUGUUCCCCAACGAUGGCACUGCGACACGGGCCAUACUCCUACGGGAGGCAGCAGUCGAGAAUAUUGGACAAUGGACGAAAGUCUGAUCCAGCGACGCCGCGUGCGGGAUGACAGCCUUCGGGUUGUAAACCGCUUUUAUGGAGGAAGAAUCCGCAAGGAUGACGGUACUCCAUGAAUAAGGGGGUGCUAAUUCUGUGCCAGCAGCCGCGGUAAAACAGAACCCCCAAGCGUUACCCGAAUUUAUUGGGCGUAAAGCGUCUGUAGCCGGUUUGGCAAGUCGUAGGUUAAAUUCUGAGAGCCCAACUUUCAGACUGCCUGUGAAACUGCCAGACUAGAGGGUGUUAGGGGCUGAUGGAACUCUUGGUGGAGGGGUGAAAUCCGUUGAUAUCAAGAGGAACACCAAAAGCGAAGGCAUUCAGCUGGGGCAACCCUGACGGUGAGAGACGAAAGCGUGGGGAGCGAAAAGGAUUAGAUACCCUUGUAGUCCACGCCGUAAACGAUGGAUACUAGCUAUGUGAAGUGUCGACCCUUCACGUGGCGAAGCUAACGCGUUAAGUAUCCCGCCUGGGAAGUACGGCCGCAAGGCUAAAACUCAAAGGAAUAGACGGGGGCCCACACAAGCGGUGGAUCAUGCGGCUUAAUUCGUCAGUAACCGAGGAACCUUACCAGGGCUGGAAACACUAGUGAACUCCGCCAGA
rnacentral:rRNA from 1 species